AAGACCCCAUGGAGCUUCAAACCCAACUACACCCCUAGCUCUUAUAGCCCCACAACCCCCCCCUAGGCGCCGUGUGCUUGGUUUUAGGUUGGGGCGACCGCGGAGUACAAUAAAACCUCCACAAUGAAUGGGAACACCCCCUUAUCUGAGGGCCACACCCCCUAAGAAUUAGAACACUAACAUAAAAUGAUCCAUUACUUGAUCAAUGAACCAAGUUACCCUGGGGAUAACAGCGCAAUCCAUUUCAAGAGCCCCUAUCGACAAAUGGGUUUACGACCUCGAUGUUGGAUCAGGGUACCCCAGUGGUGCAGCAGCUACUAACGGUUCGUUUGUUCAACGAUUAAAACCCU
rnacentral:rRNA from 1 species